rnacentral:rRNA from 1 species
UACGUAGGGGGCAAGCGUUGUCCGGAAUCAUUGGGCGUAAAGAGCUCGUAGGCGGUGUGUCACGUCGGCCGUGAAAACCUGCAGCUUAACUGUGGGCGUGCGGUCGAUACGGGCAUCACUGGAGUUCGGUAGGGGAGACUGGAAUUCCUGGUGUAGCGGUGAAAUGCGCAGAUAUCAGGAGGAACACCGGUGGCGAAGGCGGCUCUCUGGGACGGUACUGACG